CUAUACGUGAUACACAAGAUCAAACACUCAAAAGAAAACAACUAAAGUUUCCAAGUGUUGGAAAGAGCACCAAGGACUCUUCCUAACUUGGACUUUAUAAGAGGCCUUUUACAAACACAAAAGCUAAGACUAACAGUUGGGCUGCAAGCCCAUCAAAUACAAAUAAAAAAAAAAAACAAAAGCUAUGCUACGGUCUUGAUCUUGAUCCAACGUAGUGACAACCCACAGCUGCUACGGCCCUUGUUCAAAUGAAGAUCCACGUGCUUGACUGGUCUUUAUCUUGGAGUGGUGUAGUUGAUGCGCUUAUCUUCACGGGUCUCAAAUUGAAUCUGCUGCACAAUAAUUCACUCAAAAUCAGCAAAUCACAAUCUCCAACAAAUUACAAGCUAUAACAGAAACAACUUAAACCAACAGAAGCAAGAUAGUUAACAAACUUCCCUUUCUCUUGGUAGCACACUGAUGGGUGUCGCCGCC
rnacentral:lncRNA from 1 species